AGCGCACGCGCGUUCCACCGGUCUUGGCUCUGCGCGCCGCUGACGGGAGUUCCGUCUCAGGCGCCGCCAGAGUUUGUGCUGGGAUGCCCGGGUUAGCGUCUCUACUAACAGGAGCUGAGUCUCCUUUAGACUCGCCGGGGCUUGGACUUCAGGACAACACGGGGCUGUGUCCAUACUGACAGGAGCUGGGUUUCCUGACGACCCAGGAGACGCCAGGAGGAAAAGAAAAUUGGAACUUGAAAAUCCCACUGUUUCUAUCGCAUCCAGAUCAUCCACAACACCAAAGACAUAGUGGCUCCUAAUCUAAUCUUCCCACAGUGCCUGUAAAUUCCAUGUGGACUUUGGGUGAACUGCAUCUGGGCUCCGCCAUGGUUUCAGCUUUGGGACAACACUUGGCUGAGUCCAUGCAGACAGAAGCCCAGUGUCUUCAGGAACCACCAGGAGGCACCACCAUGGGAGUAAAAGGUUUCAGGAAAAUCACUUUGCCUGGCUGGGAAAAGAAGAGGACCCCCAAAUCGUCUGAAGUCCUUGGGUCCUUGUAGCUGGUUGUACAGAGAACUGGACACAUGCCAAAUGGGAUUUGGCCUCCCUGCUCGAUCACCUGUAACCAAGCAGGGACAAGCCCUCUUUGAACAGUCUCCUUGAAUGCUGGAGAGGCCCUCUGGGUAAUUUAUUCGGCUAGAGAACCCUUAUUUCCCACUCCACCUUCACCCUAUCUAUCUCCAGGGACUGCUUGCUGAAAGCACCCACCUACAUCAGGUAUCUCCUACAGCCCCACAGUGGAUCUGGGAAUGUCUAAUUGCUGACUUAAGAGGGGAUCUGGGGGCUUCCCUGGUGGCGCAGUGGUUGAGAAUCUGCCUGCCAAUGCAGGGUAUACGGGUUCGAGCCCUGAUCUGGGAAGAUCCCACAUGCCGCUGAGCGACUGGGCCCGUGAGCCACAAUUGCUGAGCCUGCGCGUCUGGAGCCUGUGCUCCGCAACGAGAGGCCGCGACAGUGAGAGGCCCGCGCACCGCGAUGAAGAGUGGCCCCCACUUGCCACAACUAGAGAAAGCCCUCGCACAGAAACGAAGACCCAACACAGCCAUAAAUAAAUAAAUAAAAUUUAAAAAAAAAAUUAUCUUUUAAAAAAAAAAAAAGAGGGGAUCUGGGACUUCCCUGGUGGCGCAGAGGUUAAGAAUCUGCCUGCCAAUGCAGGGGACAUGGGUUCGAGCCCUGGUCUGGGAAGAUCCCACAUGCUGCGGAGCAACUAAGCCCGUGCGCCACAACUACUGAGCCUGCGCUCUAGAGCCCACACACCACAACUACUGAAGCCUGUGCGCCUAGAGCCCAUGCUCCACAACAAGAGAAGCCACCGCGUUGAGAAGCUCGUGCACCGUAACGAAGCCCCAACUCGCCACAACUAGAGAAAGCCCGCGGGCAGCAACGAAGACCCAACGCAGCCAAAAAAAAAAAAAAAGAGAGGGGACCUCAUAACUAAGGCCCUCUUAGACAGCAUCUCCCCUCCCAUCCCCCACAAAGAUUGGUUCACGUUUCAGUUAGAGCACCUAGAUCACUUGGUGUGGGCUAGAUCUUGUGGGAUCUGCAUCGCCACCAACCCUAGGAGGACGCCACUGGAAAGUUGGAAACAGACUAGAAAUAAGGACUCCCCAGUAGGGGUAACCAAGCCUCUAUCCCAGCGAAAUCGCCACUAGGGUGCAUCCUCCAUAACUAGAAAUUACCGCCCACUAACAAACAGCUUGUUUUCUUUUGCAACAUCACAUGGCCCCAGUAUUAACUGGUGGAUGGAGAAAGUUGGCCAACUAAUGGCUCUCUAAAUUAUAAUAUCAUUUUUCAAUUGGACUUCUAUUGCCAGCAUUUGAAAAAUAUGGGACAAGAUCCCCUAUGUCCAACUUUUCAUGGUGCUUUGCGAAAACAAGCGCCUCCGUGAGAAAUGCGAGGUUAUCUCUCAUCUCUCUCUCUCCUGGUAUUGAAUCUCAGCCUGAAGAUUCUCUUGACUUCCUCUCUCUGCCAAGCGUAGCUUCUUCCCCUUCUGAGAGUUCACCCGAGACUCCUGAGUCAUCUACCGCUACCUGACCUGGUUCCUGACACCUUCUACUCCCUCCAAUUCACAACCACCCUACCUGUGCCCUUGCCACCUCCCCAACUCGCCCAUCUCCAUCUCUCGGCAUGCCUCCCUUGGGGACUAGUCCAGUGCACACCCAUAGCGGCAUUCAGUACCAGCCCUCUGGAAGCAAUAGGCUAUUCCCCCUUUCGGAGGUCCCUAAUGGAGAGGGCAGACUGACCACUGUACACGUACCCUUAUCUUCCUCAGAUCUGUGUAACUGGAAGGAUCGAUCCAAGGCCUUGAAGGAAGAUACCAAGGGGGUCCUUAAUUUAGUCUGGGGAAUAUUCCACACUCCUUUCCCCACUUGGGUGGAUGUCCAAACCCUCCUGAACAUCGUAUUCUCUGUGGAAGAAAAGACACUGAUUAUAACUAAUGCAAGUGAGGAAGCUGAUAAGACCAAUCAAAAUAAUUCAGGACACUCUCUAUACCAGCCUUGAAUCCAGGCCAUUUCCUACAUGGACCCUGGGUGGGACCAUUAAGAGGAAAAUGGUCAGCAGCACCUCACACAUUUCAGGGAUUUGAUUCUUAAGGGCAUUCAGUUGGCUGGGAAGAAACCCAUAAAUUGGAGUAGGGUUCAGGGAGUCAUCCAGGGACUGAAGGAAAACCCCUUGGCUUUCCUGGAAUGCCUAAGGGAGUUCCUUUGUGGGUACACGAAGGUGAACCUGGAGUCAGUGGAAGGGCAGGCCAUUCUUAAGUCCCAUUUCACUUCCCAGAGCGCCCCAGACAUUAGGAGAAAAUUACAGAAGUUGGAGAUAGGCGCACUACGCCUUCUUCCUGGGGUGGAGUCAGCAUUUCGGGUGUUCAACAACCAGGAUCUGGAGGCAGAUGCCAAGGAAGAUAGACCAGCGGAACCAACUGCCAGUAUUCUGGCUUCAGCAGUUCAGGGUCAGUCAACCUCCCAGUGAUGAUGGGGCCUCCCCCAAAGGGACCCUGUGACAUCAAUGAGGCACCCCAGGUUUUGAAGACCACACCCACAGUGGAGAGAAGGGCUCAAAGCCAGUCUGUGUGCAUACUGCAGGGAGGAGGGCCACGGGGAGAGGGAUGCCCCAAACGUCUCAGAAGGAAGCUAAAGGGACCACCGUGUCCUGGCCCAUCCUUGCUGGUCGCACACAUGAAAGGAGAAGAGGACUGAAGGGGCCCAGGGGCUCCUUGGAGAAGCCUUGGCUGACCCUGACUCUGGGGGUAAAACACACUUUCUAGUUCACUUUCUAGUCGACACAGGGGCCAUCUACUCAGUCUUGAACACCCGACAAGGCAGAAUGACCAAGAAUAAAUGUAAGAUAAUGGGAGUGGAAGGGAAGCCACAGGAACAUAAUUUUAUAGAGCCCCUUGAGUGCGAUUUGAAAGGGAGAAUGUUAUCUCACUCUUAUAUGUACCAGAAUGCCCAAUUCCCCUAGUAGGAAAAGACUUACUAUACAAAUUGGGAGCUACAAUGUAUCUCUGAGACAAAAACCUUACCACUGAAAAGCCCAGAAUACCCAAGAUGGAUGAUUAACAGUCAUGGGCAGCUGUUCCUCCCAUCAGCCACUGCACUGCAGGUCAUCCUGGAAGCUCACCAGAGCACACAUUAUGGGCAGGAGGCCCUAUAUCAAUGGCUCAUCAGGGACUUCCCUGGUGGUCCACUGGCUAAGACUCUGUGCUCCCAAUGCAGGGGGCCUGGGUUCCAUCCCUGUCAGGGAACUAGAUCCCACAUGCUGCAACUAGGAGUUCGCAUGCCACAACUAAAGAUCCUGCACAUUGCAAUGAAGAUCCCACGUGCCACAACUAAGACCCAGCACAGCCAAAUAAGUAUUUUUUUUAAAAAUGGCUCAUCAAAUCCAUGACUGCCCCCAAUUUCCGUAGUCUCCUUAAACAGGUGGUUGAAGCUUGCCCUAUCUGCCUCCAGAAUAAGCCCAACACAAACCCCCAACCAAGGUCAAGGGAGUGACCCCCACCCAGUAUAUAGGCACAUAUCCAGGUUAAGACUGGCAACCUGAUUUUACAGUAAUGCCCUGGACAUAAGGAAAUUUUAGAUAACUUGCUGGUUUUGACUGACACCUUCUCCGGCUGGAUGGAGGCAUUCCCCACCUGAACUGAGAUUGCCUGGGAGGUCUCUAAGGCCCUGUUCAAGGAAAUAAUCCCUCGGUUUGGGCUCCCUAAGUCCAUCCAGAAUGACAGUGGGCCUGCCUUUGUUUCCCAAAUUACUAAGGGAGUCGCUAGAGCUCUAGGAAUUAAAUGGGGUUUACACUCCACUUGGAGAUGACAAUCCUCAAGAAAAGCAGAAUAAAUCAAACCCUCAAAAGAAACUUAGCCAAACCAUGUCAAGACAGUCAUCAACCCUGGAUCUCCCUUCUCCCCAUAGCACUUUUGAGACUGCGAAUAGCCCCUAAAGGAAAGCUCAGGUUAAGUCCAUAUGAGCCCAUGUACAGGAGGACCCGGCUUCAAGACCAAUCUUAGGGAUAUGGACCGGCAGAAAUAUACCUUACAGACAGGGGAAAUAAUCAAAGCUUUACAUGCCUACGGGAAUCCAGAACUGCCUUCCCCUUCGGACAGCGUUUUACAUCCUUUCUCCCCUGAAAAUUGGUUUAUUUGAAAACCUGGAAGGCUGGAAAUCCACAAGACCAGUUAGACCCCAAGUGGACAGGACCUUAUCUAGUAAUCUGGACUACUUAUUCUGCUUUACAAUUACAGGGCAUAACUCCAUGGGCCCACCAUACCAGAGUGAAAACAGCACCUA